AUUGAACGCUGGCGGCAGGCCUAACACAUGCAAGUCGAGCGGAGCGGCGGACGGGUGAGUAAUGCCUAGGAAUCUGCCUGGUAGUGGGGGAUAACGUCCGGAAACGGGCGCUAAUACCGCAUACUAUCAGAUGAGCCUAGGUGGGAUUAGCUAGUUGGGGGGGUAAAGGCCUACCAAGGGGACGAUCCGUAACUGGUCUGAGAGGAUGAUCAGUCACAUUAGAACUGGGACACGGUCCAGAGUACUACGGGAGGGAGCAGUGGGGAAUAUUGGACAAUAGGCGAAAGCCUGAUCCAGCGAUGCCGCGUGUGUGAAGACGGUCUUCGGAGUGUAAAGCACUUUAAGUUGGGAGGCGUUACCAACAGAAUAAGCACCGGCUAACUUCGUGCCAGCAGCCGCGGUAAUUC
rnacentral:rRNA from 1 species